AUGGAACUGAGCCUGGCAGACACUGCAAAUGAGGCCCCUGCCAGCCAGGGGAAGCAUUGAUAGGCACACUGAGGGUAUGCUGAAGAAGGCAGUGAGGUCCAGCUCCAGGAAGCUGCAGCAACAUUAGGCCACUGCAGCGGACCUCAUUUUCAGAAGGAUUUUAAGCCAAAGCCCAAGGUAAAGGGGAGCAAGGACUUUUAUGCAGCUUGUUUUUGUGCAGGUAUUAAGGACUCUCAGGAAGCCUGGUCCUUCAGGGGUUUAUUUUGUUUGUUUAUUUGUUUUGUUUUGUUUUUUCUAUACACAGGGGAGAGGAUUCAAAUGCAGUAAUCAGUUUCUUGCUCUUUUUUUUUUCUUCUUAAAUAGAGACAGAGUCUCGCUCUAUUGCCCAGGCUGGUUUCAAAUUCCUGGGCUCAAACAAUCCUCAUGCCUCAGCCUCCGAAACUGCUGGGAUUACAGGCAUGAGCCCCGAUGCUUGGCCAAUUUUCUUGUUCUGUAAAGCUGCACUGCUUAAGCACAAGGCCAAAAUGAGGUCUCUCACCACUUCUGCCUGAACUAAACUUACCCAGUGAAUGCUGGGCUGGGCAGUCCAGUCUUCCCCACAUGUGGUAAUGUUCUGCUCUCAGUCAUGUUCUAACCACAAGGCAGCAAACACUGGCGCAGCUGAGCCCGAGGCUGGGGCUGCAGUCUGAACUUUUACAUUACUCAGUUAAUUACAAAGCCAGUCAAAUCACCCCAAAGAUCCACACACCCAAGAGUGCUGGAUAAGAAAAAAAUCCUGCAUAUCAAACCCCUUCUGGGGGAGAGACCAGGGAGAGCGUGGAAGAGAAGAGGUCUGGGGUAUGCAGUGGCUGGUGGCCUAGAGCAAUUCUAACCCAGGAGGCCUCAACAGGGAGCCUGCACCUGAAUGUUGGAAGAAGCAGGGUUUCCGUCAGUCUGUGUUGGCUUUAAAGGAACCAUCCUUCAUGCCCAAAGGAGGCAAGUGUUUGGCAGCUUUUCCAGAUGGCAUGUCUUGCAGUCGUUGAAAAUUUUUUAAAGUGUAAUUCUUGAUAGUGUAUCUCCAAGACAGAGAGACAAGCCCCUAGUCACCCUUCUGAACACCAUAAAGUUUAUUAUAAAGGACUUACAAAGGACAAAGACGAAGAGACACAUAGGGCAAGGUACCAGGGAAGGGGCACAGAGCUUCCAUGCCCUCCCUGGGCGCAUCACUCUACAGGAACCUCCCUGUGUUCAGCUAUCCAGAAGCUCUCCAAACUCCAUCCUCUUGGGCUUUAAUGGAAGCUUCGCAAGGUCAGCAUUCCUUCCCCCAGGGUAUGCGGUGGGGCCCUCUCUGGAGAACCCCAGUUAAUUUUUAAAUAUUAAAAUAAAAAUGCUGGCCAGGCACAGUGACUCACACCUGUAAUCCCAGCACUUUAGGAGGCUGAGGCAGGGGGAUCACUUGAAGUCAGGAAUUCAAGACCAGUCUGACCAGCACGGUGAAACCCCAUCUCUACUAAAAAUACAAAAUUUAGCCAGCUGUGGUGGUGCGUGCCUGUAAUCCCAGCUGCUUGGGAGGCUGAGGCAGGAGAGUCAUCUGAAUCCUGGAGACAGAUGUUGCAGUGAGCUGAGAUUGCACCACUGCACUUCAUCCAGCCUGGGGUGACAGAACGAGACUCCGUUUCAAAAAAAUAAAAGAAUGAAAAUGCUAUGUGGAACAAAAAUUGUAUUCAUUUUUGAAACAAGUUUGUUUAAAUGAAAUGAAAUCCCAAGCAAACAACAAAGCUGUUUCUGAGGAGUGAAAGACCUUUUUUGCUUAAUUCUUCCCAUAGGAGAAAAUUCUUUGAAAUAUUUUCUUGCAAUUCGAUAAAAAUGGAAAGACCCAGCAUGUAGGUAGGGCUGCUUGAUUAUUGCAAUGGAGGGAGGGAAGAUGGGGAAGCACAUGCAGCCCUUCUGUGCACCAGGCUCCAGGUGUGAGGACUCUCAUAGCACCAUUUGUGCAACGACGGAUUCGGCCUACUGACAAGGUUUUGAGGAUUUCCCUACUCUGCUAUGUGGAAAUGGAGACACUCAACAUCUCCUUAUAAAAUAUCUUGUGCCAGCCCUCAAGAUACAUGAAGCUGUGGGCCCUCAGAAACAUCUGGCUCAGCAGAAAUGACUGCAGGGUCUGCCUCUGAAGCCCAGCGUUUCUACUCCAUUUGGGAUAUUCCACACAGGAAGAGAAUUGGAAAUGCUGGAGGCUCCCCACGUCAGGCCGUCCUCCAGGAGUGGCUAUCCAUCUCUAAGGGCUUUCCGGACUGCUGCCCAGCAACUUCAACAGGCACCUCUAAUCGACGACCUCUCCUGCCUCCGCUGGUGUAGGGACGCCAGGCUUCUGAACAGCACUGCUCUCCUCAUUUGCCUUCAAGCUGGCCUAUCUUUCCUGCUGGUGGUGGUGGGCAGAGGCAAGGGUGUGGUCAGCUUUGAAAGAGAUUCCAUUCUUGGAAUAAAGUGAUCUAGCAAACAAAGUCUUCAAAAAAAAAAUACAUGAGGGGAAAAACAAUAAGCUGAACAUGAGCAGAAAACACAUUUUCUUGCAUUUGUGGUCAUCUUCUAUGAAGCACAGUAAGAAUCUUUGGAAGCCAGUCUUCAGGGCAAAAGGAUGGAGGAUGCAGCAUCAUGAGUAUCCAGAGAGUCAGGAUGAAGUUGUUCUUGGGAACUGCAGAGACAAGCAGUUCUAUAUGGUUUCAACACAAAUGGGCUAGGAAGAACCCUGGCACCGUGAGCAAUAAUAGUGUCACUACCUUUUUCUAGAGGUGGGAGACAAAAACUUAGCCAGACACAUUCAACAGUAAGACUCAACAAAGAAUCUUCAUAUUCAUGGACAGAAACUAAAUCUGCCACAUUUCUAGUAAGGUUCUUUCUUGGUUAAUUAAAUGUAUUAAUCUCUUCCAAUUUCUAUGUGCUAUUUGUCCUCAUUCCCCAAAGAUUAUGGCUUAGCUCAGUGUCUGCAGGUGAUUGUUCUUCUCUUGUUGCAGGUAAAAUCAUCCACGAUGCCCUCCAAUAUCAUUCCCAAUCAGUUUCCUGUUUCCCCUUCUCUUGCAGAAGCUCUGGAAGCCCACAGAGAACAGAUGCAUAAACACCAUUUACCAGACACAGCUCAGCAAACCCUCUCUCUCUUCCUUCCAGCAGCUUGGUUGUCCUCAAGGAGUUCCUAAAUUUCAUACUUCUGAGGGUUAUAUGGGAUGGUGAGGGGUGGAGGAGAGUAGCACGGAUUGAAAAAUACAUUAAUGUUGGCUGGGCACAGUGGCUCACACCUGUAAUCCCAGCGCUUUGGGAGGCCGAGGCUGGUAGAUCACCUGAGGUCAGGAGUUUGAGACCAGCCUGGCCAACAUGGCGAAACCCCAUCUCUACUAAAAAUACAAAAUUUAGCUGGGUGUGAUGGCACAUGCUUGUAAUCCCAGCUACUCAGGAGGCUGAGGCAGGAGAAUCGCUUGAACCCAGGAAGCGGAGGUUGCAGUGAGCUGAGAUUGCAGCAUUGCACUCCAGCCUGGGCAACAAGAGAGAUGCUCCAUCUUAAAAAAAAAAAGAAAAAUACAUUAAAGUGUACCAAAAUAAAUAUAUGACAGCUUUUAAAUUAUUUUCCAUGGGAAAAAAACUUAUAAUUAGUGACAAUUACUUACUGAGGGCCUGCUGGGCUAGACAUUAUGGACAUUGUGAAAGAUAAAAAGUUCAAGACACAGACUCUGUUUUCAGGAUGUGUACGCUUUAAAUAUGAAGUUAACACAGGGCAGAAAAGUAGAUACACACAUGCACACACAUACCUAUACACACAUACCUACACACACACACACACACACACACACACACAAAUACUCCUCAGACCCAAAGGACGGAGACAUCACAAUGAACAAGAUGAACAAUUGGUAGGAUUUUAAAAGACUAUUUUCUUUUUCAGCAAGGAGGAUGGAGUGGGCAGGUAGGGGAUGGUAUUUAUUUCCCAAGCAAAUCAAUUAGAAAAAAUAUUUGUAUUUCAGUAAAUUUAUUUUUUUCAAUCUUCAGAUAUAAGAAGGCUUUUCCAUGAAAAACACUCUAUUUA
rnacentral:lncRNA from 1 species